rnacentral:tRNA from 1 species
AGAGUAGCUCAAUGGUAGAGCUCCAGCCUUCCAAGCUGGCUACGGGGGUCCGAUUCCCCUCUCU